AAAGGAGAAAAAUACAAAAAUCUCAUUCUUUUUCGCUAUUUUGUCUUCUUCCUUUUUUGCUGCCUUGGCUUGUUGUUUGUUGUAGGUACUAGAGUACGGAGGUGGUGGCGUGGCGCGCGUAGAGAGGAAGGUCAAAGGCGGCGCGUUGCGAGGCUGCUGCGGCGACUUAGUUUCCAGAAACCCUAGGGUUUCUGUUUGUGAUUUUGUUUUGGGCUUAGAUGAUUAGGGCCAAAGUUAGGUGUUAGGUUAAUUGGGUUGGGGAUAUUGGGCUAGGCUAGUGUUUAGGUUAAAAACGAUUUGGGCCAUGUUGGGCCUAUGUAUUUGGACUGUGGAUAUUUAAUUAUUUUUUCUUGCUUUUUUU
rnacentral:lncRNA from 1 species